ACUUAUUUAGUAUAUAAGUAUACCUGGCUUCCAACCAGGAGGUCUGGUUCCCAGAGUAAGUA
rnacentral:tRNA from 1 species